rnacentral:rRNA from 1 species
UACGUAGGUGGCGAGCGUUGUCCGGAUUUACUGGGCGUAAAGAGCCCGCAGGCGGUCCGUCAAGUUUCAGGUGAAAUCUCCCGGCUCAACCGGGAGGGUGCCUGGAAAACUGGCGGACUUGAGGCAGGGAGAGGGAUGUGGAAUUCCCGGUGUAGUAGUGAAAUGCGUAGAUAUCGGGAGGAACACCAGUGGCGAAGGCGGCAUCCUGGCCCUGUCCUGACGCUCAGGGGCGAAAGCGUGGGGAGCAAACCGGAUUAGAAACCCUCGUAGUCC